rnacentral:rRNA from 1 species
AUAUGUGAUCGUCUCUCGCAUAUCAAUAAGCGGAGGAAAAGAAACUAACAAGGAUUCCCCUAGUAACGGCGAGUGAAGCGGGAAGAGCUCAAAUUUGAAAUCUUAAAGGGUUUCCCUCUACGAAUUGUAGUUUAAAGAAGUGUUUUCUGUUGAGGUUUUGGUAAAAGUUCUUUGGAAUAGGACAUCAUAGAGGGUGAGAAUCCCGUAUUUGACCUUUACUUUCAACUUUGUGAUACACUUUCAAAGAGUCGGAUUGUUUGGGAAUGCAGUCCAAAAUGGGUGGUAAAUUUCAUCUAAAGCUAAAUAUUGGCGAGAGACCGAUAGCGAACAAGUACCGUGAGGGAAAGAUGAAAAGAACUUUGAAAAGAGAGUUAAACAGUACGUGAAAUUGUCAAAAGGGAAGCGUUUGACACCAGUGUUGUUUUUCUGAAAAUCAAUUAAAGAACUGUUUAUGCUAAGCUGUUUAGACUUUAUCAGCUAUACUGUUUAGUUUUGAGCUUUUCUUUAAUGCACUUUUCAGUUAACAAGUCAACAUCAAUUUCUUUUGCUGUAAAAAAGCUUGAGGAAGGUGGCUUGAGAUUCGUCUUAAGUGUUUAUAGCCUCUUGCCUAUGCAGUCGGAGAGAUUGAGGUCUGCAGCGUAGAUCCUUCGGGGCUAAAUGCAUUUGUGCUAAGUUAUAGCAUUUUAUAGACAACUUGUUGACUAUGAUUUGUCUUGUAGCUUACUCGCUUAUGUUAUUUUACCUACGCUUAGGAUGUUGAGUAGCGACAUACGCAC